UGGGGAAUAUUGGACAAUGGGCGAAAGCCUGAUCCAGCCAUGCCGCGUGUGUGAAGAAGGUCUUCGGAUUGUAAAGCACUUUAAGUUGGGAGGAAGGGCAGUAAGCGAAUACCUUGCUGUUUUGACGUUACCGACAGAAUAAGCACCGGCUAACUCUGUGCCAGCAGCCGCGGUAAUACAGAGGGUGCAAGCGUUAAUCGGAAUUACUGGGCGUAAAGCGCGCGUAGUUGGUUCGUUAAGUUGAAUGUGAAAGCCCCGGGCUCAACCUGGGAACUGCAUCCAAAACUGGCGAGCUAGAGUAGGGCAGAGGGUGGUGGAAUUUCCUGUGUAGCGGUGAAAUGCGUAGAUAUAGGAAGGAACACCAGUGGCGAAGGCGACCACCUGGGCUCAUACUGACACUGAGGUGCGAAAGCGUGGGGAGCAAACAGG
rnacentral:rRNA from 1 species